AAAGAGAUUCAUCUAUCACACAGUUACUCAAGGUUUCUCUACUUGCAUUGCCAAGGAUCUUCAUAAGACUGGUAAUACUCACAUUUUCUGUUGGAAGGAGAAUCUUGGUACCAGGACCACAGAAUGAAGAACUUGGAGUCCCCGUGGCUAAUCCAGCCGAGGGAAAAGGAGAAGAAACACAGACGGGAGAGAAAAUAAAGGGAACCCUUGGUGCAAUUUGGUGCUGCUGCAGGCCCAAGUCCAGCUGCUCCUGCUUUGAGGAUUUCCACUGGACCAACACGGUAGCAAAGCAGCACUGAAUCAGAAGCAGGUAAAUUUCAAAAUGACAGCUCUAAAAAUAUCCACUUUCCUUUUGU